rnacentral:rRNA from 1 species
UACGGGGGGGGCAAGCGUUGUUCGGAAUUACUGGGCGUAAAGGGCUCGUAGGCGGCCAACUAAGUCGGAUGUGAAAUCCCCAGGCUCAACCUGGGAACUGCAUCCGAUACUGGAUGGCUUGAAUUCGGGAGAGGGAUGCAGAAUUCCAGGUGUAACGGUGAAAUGCGUAGAUAUCUGGAGGAAUACCGGUGGCGAAGGCGGCAUCCUGGACCGACAUUGACGCUGAGGAGCGAAAGCUAGGGGAGCAAACGGG